rnacentral:rRNA from 1 species
GAUGAACGCUAGCGGCAGGCCUAAUACAUGCAAGACGAACGGUAAGUUGAGUAGCAAUACUUAGCCAAGAGUGUCGUACGGGUGCGUAACACGUAUGCAACCUACCCUAUACAGGAGGAUAGCCUAGGGAAACCUGGAUUAACCCUUCAUAGUAUUAUUGGAUGGCAUCAUUUGAUAAUUAAAACUGAGGUGGUAUAGGAUGGGCAUGCGUCUGAUUAGUUAGUUGGCGGGGUAAUGGCCCACCAAGACGAUGAUCAGUAGGGGUUCUGAGAGGAAGAUCCCCCACACUGGCACUGAGAUACGGGCCAGACUCCUACGGGAGGCAGCAGUAGGGAAUAUUGGUCAAUGGAUGCAAGUCUGAACCAGCCAUGCCGCGUGAGGAAGAAGGCCUUCUGGGUUGUAAACUGCUUUUGCCAGGGGAUAAAAUUUCCAUGCGUGGAAAACUGAAGGUACCUGGUGAAUAAGCCACGGCUAACUACGUGCCAGCAGCCGCGGUAAU